UACGAAGGGGGCUAGCGUUGUUCGGAAUCACUGGGCGUAAAGCGCACGUAGGCGGAUGUGUCAGUCAGGGGUGAAAUCCCGGGGCUCAACCUCGGAACUGCCUCUGAUACAGCACAUCUUGAGUCCGGAAGAGGUGGGUGGAAUUCCUAGUGUAGAGGUGAAAUUCGUAGAUAUUAGGAAGAACACCGGUGGCGAAGGCGGCCCACUGGCCCGGUACUGACGCUGAGGUGCGAAAGCGUGGGGAGCAAACAGG
rnacentral:rRNA from 1 species